rnacentral:misc_RNA from 1 species
GAUGAAGAACGUAGCGAAAUGCGAUAAGUAGUGUGAAUUGCAGAAUUCAGUGAAUCAUCGAAUCUUUGAACGCACAUUGCGCCCCUCGGCAUUCCGUGGGGCAUACCUGUUCGAGCGUCAUUUCAACCCUCAGGCGGCUCUUUUGGUCUGUCUGGUCUUGGGCAUCGUCCAAGGACGUGCCUUAAAAGAAUUGGCGGCGUAGGUGCCGGCUUCGAGCGUAGCAGGUGCGAUUCGCUUUGGAAGCCGGCGCCCACCUUGCCAGAAUAAUUUCUGAAUGGUUGACCUCGGAUCAGGUAGGGAUACCCGCUGAACUUAAGCAUAUCAAUAAGCGGAGGA